UUAAGUUAGCUAGCUACCUGUUUGAGAUACAAUUUUCUUCGCUUAUAUAUUUCAAGCCCCGACCAGACAUCUGGAGCAACGUCAUCACGUAGAGGCCGUGAGCCCUCAGAUCCACAUGGAGGAUUAGCCAAUCCGGUCAUCACAGUGAUAGAUCUGAGCAGGCAGUGCCGUGACAAACAGCAAGUUUGCCUCAAGCUUUUGCAUUGGUGAUGCACUUGGAUUGUCCCCAAGGACCUAUUUUUAGGCAUGCGCCUACAAAGGUACAAACUACAACGAUGAGACGAGGCAAAGUUUUAAAAGAGAGCACCAGCUGGAAUAACGAUGCUGCUGUACAGAAGAGAACGCGGAAUGAGGAAUAGAGUUGUAAUGACAAGACUGGAUAAACUGGAACUGCAGCUUCUUUCAUCAAUUAGAGGAUAAUAAGUAUAUUCUCAUAAUAAGUAUAUUCUCAAUAUGGCAACAUGUACUCGGUUAAUUUGUAGUCUUCUUUGUGAGUCACUUCUGGUUUACAUCAGAACGCAACCCGAUACUGCAAAAUCUGAAAUAAAUGGGAAUUAAUUGGA